rnacentral:snRNA from 1 species
GGAUCUGAGGGUGAUCUGCUGUAACAUAUACUACCUAUUGAUUGCUCUGAUUGAUUUAGCUGAUCUGGCUGGCCAGGCAGGUGUCCCCUUCCUCCCUCACUGCUCCACGUGUGUUCUUUGUUGAAGUGGACAAGCUUCUCCAAUAGAGCUCAAGAGUGCAGGAGUACCUGUGUCCUCCUUCUACAACCUCUAAGCAAACAAUAAGAAAGAUCAUUGCUGAUAGUUUCAUGGGCAUGCAGCCUGUGU